CGCAUUAAGGCAUCAUCCAACGUUUUCGCAUUUAGGGACUAAUAGAUAGCAUCCAAGCCUUAAAUUAUGAAUUAAAUUUCAUAUUAAAAUUGCAUUUUAGGCAACAACUAGCUUUCGCAUUAAGGCAUCAACCAACGUUUUUGGGCCAUCAAAACAAUCCCUACAAAAAUCAUGGAACAAAAAGUAUAUUAAUCUUAUUGUCGAAACAGUGGCCUCAUGUAUACCACAACCCUUCAUAGAUAAUGAAAAAAACAUUUCAUUGCAGCAACAGUUUCACAGUUAGGGUCAGGGUCGUAAAAGGACAAUAGAUACCAUCCCUUAACUCAUAUGAUUACAAUUACGUAUGAAAAUUGCAUUGAAAUCCAUCAUCCAACAACUUUUGCAUCAUGAAUAAAGAGUUCAAAAUGCAAAUAUGCAUAUAUGUUGGAAUUAAAAUUCCAAAAAAAAUGUCUUUCAAAAUAUAGAGGGUCGUGGGACACAACAUGUUUACUCAAUUAAGGUUUUUUUUUCAUGUAGAAGAUUGAAUGUUCUUCAAUUAUCAAAAAUGAGAAACAUCAGUAACACAACAUUUAUAUCAAAAAUUGACUUUCAAAACAUUGAUGCCGAAUAGGGUCUCGGACAUAGCACACAUUUGCUCAAUUUAAGGUUUUUUUUUAUUUUUAUUUCUCGGGCAGAAGAUUGAAUGUUCUUGAAUAUUCAAGAAUGAGGAAAAUAGUAAAAGAUUCUAACUUUUUUCUCAAGCAGAAGAUUGAAUGUUCAAGAAUGAGAAAAAUGGGUAAAAGAUUGUACCUUUUUUAAGCAAGAUAGUGUAUACAUUUGCAGUAAAAUGAGUAAA
rnacentral:lncRNA from 1 species